rnacentral:lncRNA from 1 species
UCAGUACGUUUCGGCUAUUUACCGGGGAGAGACGAGGAGCUGGCGGAAUGUUGUUUGAUGAUCUUUAGGACGCAGAGCCAGAGAAGACGUUUGGGUUUGUGAGGGACUGUGCUGAAGCUGUCAUUCCUUCCUACCUUCCCCUGGUCAAGAAUCACAAGAACAAUGCUGUGUCGGAGGCAGAGCGGUGUUGGCGACUGCUGCGUUGAGGGAGGUACGUGGAGUUCAACUUGGUGUACCAGUGAGGCACCAAGUUUGGAUUUGCCAUGCCCAACGCCAAGAUUGAAAAUAUCUUGAUGUCCCCUUCAUGCGAUUGUGUCAAGAUAUGGAGGGAGAGAGAACAGCCAAAGAGGAGGAGGAAGAGGUACAGGAAGAUAAGAAGAAGAAGAUGAAGAAGAAAAAGAAGAAAGAAUGAAUGAAGAGUAAAAAAAGAAAAAGGAAAGUCAAGCCAAGAGUCCCUGAAUGCUGUGAAGGAGACACUGCUGCGGGAACACUGCACCUCCAAGCCAAGCCAAGCCAAGCCAAGCCACAACACAACACAAGCUUUCUACAACACCUACAGCCAUCAGCAACACCCAGAGUACAAGACAACACCUGGAGCCAUGAAGAACAGUUAGGAUAGA